rnacentral:rRNA from 1 species
GAUGAACGCUGGCGGUAUGCUUAACACAUGCAAGUCGAACGGACUCUUCGGAGUUAGUGGCGGACGGGUGAGUAACGCGUGAGAAUCUGGCUUUGGGUUCGGGACAACCACUGGAAACGGUGGCUAAUACCGGAUGUGCCGAGAGGUAAAAGAGAAAUUGCCUGAAGAUGAGCUCGCGUCUGAUUAGCUAGUCGGUGAGGUAAAGGCUCACCAAGGCAGCGAUCAGUAGCUGGUCUGAGAGGAUGACCAGCCACACUGGGACUGAGACACGGCCCAGACUCCUACGGGAGGCAGCAGUGGGGAAUUUUCCGCAAUGGGCGAAAGACUGACGGAGCAAUACCGCGUGAGGGAAGAAGGCUCUUGGGUUGUAAACCUCUUUUCUUAGGGAAGAACAAAAUGACGGUACCUAAGGAAUCAGCAUCGGCUAACUCCGUG